AAAACGCGUCAUCCUACACAAGCAGGAAGGCUUAGCAUCACGUUCCUCUUCGUAUCUCGUCGUUCUUCGUGUCUUCAUCUUCCUCAAGUUCGAAUCAACAUCAAUGCAGAAAUCGUAUCAACAUCCAUCGUUCCUCUUCAUGUGCACAUAAUUGGAAAUAAUGAAAUCGAAUGAAGGGAAGGAAAACUCACUGAAUUGGGGUUCGACGCUAACAAGUUUGGUGAGUUCUGUGGGCAAGGCAUGGUUUUGUUUCACAGGGAAUGAGCUUGUCCUCAGUGUGUUCUGCUUUGGAAAUUCGAGAGCGUUCUGCGGGUUAGGGAACAUUCUGUUAUAGCAGGCUGCUAUGGAAUGCUCAUGGGAUUGCUUAUGGUUUCAAGUUUUUGGAAUGACAUAUAGUUGAAUUCCUCUAUUUGGAUGUAUGGUUAAUGCUUUUGUACCUUGGUCGAGUUUGUGGCCUUUUGUAGUUGAAAUGUGAAUUGGCUUUAUGUGGUUAAAUUGUAAUUGAAGCGCGGAUGGUGAUUGAAUGUAUAGGUUGAUUUGGAAUUGUAAUUUGAAUUGUUAGAAAUUAUCCAUUGAAAUUGGUUUAUGUAUGUUGUGGAUUAAGGUUUGAAUUGGAAAAUUGAUAUAUGUAUUGCAAUAGUCAUGAUGUAUAUUGGUUCAUCUUUGUAAUGACAUGAAAAUGGUUUAUGGAUUGGAAAUGUAAUUGAAUGUGUAAAUUGAAAUUGGAAAUGUGUAUGUA